rnacentral:rRNA from 1 species
CCCUAUUAUAAGAAAUUUGCGAAAUUAGUAUAGUGGAAAUUUAAUAAUUCUGGCGGUUAAUUUUUUAUUAGAGGAGCUUGUUGAAAUUAGUAUUUACUCUUUAGAUUUUGAUUUAGGAUUGCUUAUUCAUCUCCGUUAUAAGUUUUUUGCUAACUAAAGUAAUUAUUAUUUUUUAUUUCAGGUCAAGAUGUAGCUUUUAUGUAAAAAAAUUAGCUACAUUAAUGGAAUUAUGGAAUUUGUUUUAUGAAAAAACUGAGGAAAUUGAAUUUAGUUGUCAUGGAAUUUAGAAAAGUUCUAUGAAUUAAAUAUAUUAAUGUA